UGUUCAUGAGAAUGGAAUGGACAUUAGGACACAUUGACCACCAGUAUUUCAACAUUGAGUCCAUUGGGUUGUUUUGAAUAAAAAAAAUCAUGCAAGGUAAAUGGUGGUAGAGCUGUCACUCUGAGGGAAUUAAAUCCGCUUGGUCCAGAGGAACCUGAAGAUGAAGUUGUCUGGGUUCUGGCACCCACAUGCCCCUUCUCCGCCAGAAACAACAAUCCUCGCCUAAACAACAAGGAUGCAUGUUCUGGACUGUCUGCUUACGAACUCAAGCGCCUUGAGAACAUCACGCACAAGGAAGCCUUCUUGUCGUCUCUGAAGAUAUGGCAAGUAUGUGGACAUUUUAGUAAAGGUAGUGGAGGAUCUGAGGCAGUCAGUGAAGCCAAAGCCCAAUGUCAAAAGGUUAAUGGCUUCAUUGGAAGAAAAAUCUCUGCAGUCUCCCCGGAAAUCCCUCCGUU